rnacentral:rRNA from 1 species
CCUACGGGGGGCAGCAGUGAGGAAUAUUGGUCAAUGGACGAGAGUCUGAACCAGCCAAGUAGCGUGAAGGAUGACUGCCCUAUGGGUUGUAAACUUCUUUUAUAUGGGAAUAAAAUGUUCUACGUGUGGGAUUUUGUAUGUACCAUAUGAAUAAGGAUCGGCUAACUCUGUGCAAGCAGCCGCGGUAAUACGGAGGAUCCGAGAGUUAUCCGGAUUUAUUGGGUGUACAGGGAGCGUAGGUGGAUUGUUAAGUUAGUGGUGAAAGUUUGCGGCUCAACCUCUUCGAGCCGUUGAAACUGGUUGUCUUGAGUGAGCGAGAGGUAUGCGGAAUGCGUGGUGUAGCGGUGAAAUGCAUAGAUAUCACGCAGAACUCCGGUUGCGAAGGCAGCAUACCGGCGCUCAACUGACGCUCAGGCACGAAAGUGUGGGUAUCGAACAGGAUUAGAUACCCCGGUAGUC